rnacentral:rRNA from 1 species
AUGGCCUUUGCCGCCGCCGUCUCUCUCCUGCCUCGUCGGACCUGCUCCGUCCUCCGCCUUCUCCCUCCUCGCAGGUCCUCCGCUGCUGCAGCACCUUCACCGUCUCGCCAGCCGUCGGCCUCAAGCAUGUCCCCACGCUCGCCGCCAGCGAAGGCCGUGGCCAGGGAGCCGCUUGAACUCUGUUGUUGCACCUCCGCUCAUCCCUGUCGUUCGUCAGCCUCCCCUAGCUGCUUCCCCUCAAUCCCGCCGCCUCCUUGCUCGGGAGAGCAAAGGCUCGAUCCCGAGCAGCACCAGCGCCUGCAUCCCCAUCGCGCUCGAGGACAAGCCCCUCGGGCAGGAGGGCUUCUCCUGCCCGAACCCUCAAGGAGAGCUGUUGCCGUGCGCACCUCCUCCCGUCCCCAAUGCCCGUCACUGCCCCGCACCUCACCCCGUGUCCAAGCCGUGUUGUCGCCGUUGCUGCACCUCCAGCCUCCUGUCUUGCUUCUUUUUGGACCAGCAAGAACGUCGCCAAGAACUGUACGCGGACGCAUCGUCGCCAGGAUUUUCGCCAAGUACCUCUAUGUGCGGACUCGCCAAGUACACGACUCGGAUGCGCCAAGUUUGACUAUGAACGGACAAGACCAAGUGUACGACUAUGCCCAGCGAUGCAACUGA